AUUCAAGGAUUACCCAUUUGUGUCUAAGGUGUUUUUAAAAUGAAAAAAAAAAAAUACACCUUAGACACGACUGGGUAAUCCCUAAAU